CAAGUCGAACGAGAAAGUGGAGCAAUCCAUGAGUAAAGUGGCGACCGGGUGAGUAACACGUGACUAACCUACCCUCGAGUGGGGAAUAACCCCGGGAAACCGGGGCUAAUACCGCAUAACACCGCAAGGUCAAAGGAGCAAUUCGCUUGAGGAGGGGGUCACGGCUGAUUAGCUAGUUGGUGAGGUAAUGGCUCACCAAGGCAAAGAUCAGUAUCCGGCCUGAGAGGGCGCACGGACACACUGGAACUGAAACACGGUCCAGACUCCUACGGGAGGCAGCAGUGGGGAAUUUUGCGCAAUGGGGGAAACCCUGACGCAGCAACGCCGCGUGGAGGAUGAAGUCCCUUGGGAUGUAAACUCCUUUCGAUCGGGACGAUUAUGACGGUACCGGAAGAAGAAGCACCGGCUAACUCUGUGCCAGCAGCCGCGGUAAUACAGAGGGUGCAAGCGUUGUUCGGAAUUAUUGGGCGUAAAGGGCGCGUAGGCGGUGCGGUAAGUCUGUAGUGAAAUCUCUGGGCUCAACUCAGAGUCUGCUAUAGAAACUGCCGUGCUUGAGUGUGGGAGAGGUGAGUGGAAUUCCCGGUGUAGCGGUGAAAUGCGUAGAUAUCGGGAGGAACACCUGUGGCGAAAGCGGCUCACUGGACCACAACUGACGCUGAGGCGCGAAAGCUAGGGGAGCAAACAGGAUUAGAUACCCUGGUAGUCCUAGCCCUAAACGAUGAUCGCUUGGUGUAUUGGGUACCCAAUCCCAAUGUGCCGGAGCUAACGCGUUAAGCGAUCCGCCUGGGGAGUACGGUCGCAAGACUGAAACUCAAAGGAAUUGACGGGGGCCCGCACAAGCGGUGGA
rnacentral:rRNA from 1 species